rnacentral:rRNA from 1 species
UUGAACUGAAGAGUUUGAUCAUGGCUCAGAUUGAACGCUGGCGGCAGGCCUAACACAUGCAAGUCGAGCGGAUGAGUGGAGCUUGCUCCAUGAUUC